rnacentral:rRNA from 1 species
UACGUAGGGUGCAAGCGUUAAUCGGAAUUACUGGGCGUAAAGCGUGCGCAGGCGGUUUUGUAAGUCUGUCGUGAAAUCCCCGGGCUCAACCUGGGAAUUGCGAUGGAGACUGCAAGGCUAGAAUCUGGCAGAGGGGGGUAGAAUUCCACGUGUAGCAGUGAAAUGCGUAGAGAUGUGGAGGAACACCGAUGGCGAAGGCAGCCCCCCUGGGCCAAUACUGACGCUCAUGCACGAAAGGCGUGGGGAGCAAACAGG